AGCCCCCUGUAUCCGUGGUGAGAUUUCGUCAGCGAUCAACCCGUUGGGAUUGAUGUAACUCCCCAAAUAAGUGAAGUG
rnacentral:pre_miRNA from 1 species